rnacentral:rRNA from 1 species
AGAUUUUCGUUCUAUCAUGGAAUACACAGCUUUCUUUGUAGUAAUUAUUUACAUUUUUGACCAGUUGAUUGUUUCAGGUUUGAUUCGAUUUAUUAACAUUUUUUAGAAGAUUAGUGGAGUUAAUUACACUAGAAAUCUUCUAUUUAUGAAAGGAAAUAUCAUGGAUAGUUUUGAUAAAGGAUGGUUUGUUUUACAAACUUAUUCUGGUUAUGAAAAUAAGGUGAAAGAAAAUCUAUUACAACGUGCACAAACCUACAAUAUGUUGGAUAAUAUUCUACGCGUUGAAAUUCCAACACAAACAGUGCAAGUUGAAAAAAAUGGAAAGAGAAAAGAAGUAGAAGAAAAUCGCUUUCCAGGUUAUGUUCUUGUAGAAAUGGUCAUGACAGAUGAAGCUUGGUUUGUUGUUCGAAACACACCAAAUGUUACAGGAUUUGUCGGAUCACACGGAAACAGAUCAAAACCAACUCCAUUAUUGGAACAAGAAAUUCGUGACAUUUUGGUAUCUAUGGGACAAACUGUUCAAGAAUUUGAUUUCGAUGUUGAGAUUGGUCAAACUGUACGUAUUAUUGAUGGUGCUUUUGCAGACUACACUGGUAAGAUUACAGAAAUUGAUAAUAACAAAGUGAAAAUGAUUAUCUCUAUGUUUGGUAAUGACACAGUUGCAGAAGUAAACCUAAACCAAAUCGCAGAAUUAUAACCCUGAGAGAGGCUGGAGCCUCUCUUUUUUGUGCAGUUUAGGAGCUAAAGGGAACAGAAUGGAGAAAAUGGAACAAAUGUGUUUUCUAAUCUGUUAGACUGUAUCUAGAAAGGGGAAAAUUAUGAUUAAAGAAUUGUAUGAAGAAGUCCAAGGGACUGUGUAUAAGUGUAGAAAUGAAUAUUACCUUCAUUUAUGGGAAUUGUCGGAUUGGGACCAAGAAGGCAUGCUCUGCUUACAUGAAUUGAUUAGUAGAGAAGAAGGACUGGUAGACGAUAUUCCACGUUUAAGGAAAUAUUUCAAAACCAAGUUUCGAAAUCGAAUUUUAGACUAUAUCCGUAAGCAGGAAAGUCAGAAGCGUAGAUACGAUAAAGAACCCUAUGAAGAAGUGGGAGAGAUCAGUCAUCGUAUAAGUGAGGGGGGUCUCUGGCUAGAUGAUUAUUAUCUCUUUCAUGAAACACUAAGAGAUUAUAGAAACAAACAAAGUAAAGAGAAACAAGAAGAACUAGAACGCGUCUUAAGCAAUGAACGAUUUCGAGGGCGUCAAAGAGUAUUAAGAGACUUACGCAUUGUGUUUAAGGAGUUUACUAUCCGUACCCACUAGUAAGUCAUGCAAAAAAAAUGAAAAAAAUUAGAAAAAGUAGUUGACAAAGUUUGAAAAGACUGUAUAAUAGUAAGAGUUGAAAAUAACAACUCAGGUCCGUUGGUCAAGGGGUUAAGACACCGCCUUUUCACGGCGGUAACACGGGUUCGAAUCCCGUACGGACUAUGGUAUGUUGCGUCAGGACCACUUGAUGAAAAAAAGUUUAAAAAAGCUUAAAAAUCUUCAAAAAAGUGUUGACAAGUGAAAGUGGCUGUGAUAUACUAAUAUAGUUGUCGCUUGAGAGAAGCAAGUGACAAAGACCUUUGAAAACUGAACAAGACGAACCAAUGUGCAGGGCGCUACAACAUAAGUUGUAGUACUGAACAAUGAAAAAACAAUAAAUCUGUCAGUGACAGAAAUGAGUNGAUGUUGCAUGACAUUUGCUUAAAAGGUGCACUUGCAUCACUACCAGAUGGACCUGCGUUGUAUUAGCUAGUUGGUGGGGUAAGGGCUCACCAAGGCGACGAUACAUAGCCGACCUGAGAGGGUGAUCGGCCACACUGGGACUGAGACACGGCCCAGACUCCUACGGGAGGCAGCAGUAGGGAAUCUUCGGCAAUGGACGGAAGUCUGACCGAGCAACGCCGCGUGAGUGAAGAAGGUUUUCGGAUCGUAAAGCUCUGUUGUAAGAGAAGAACGAGUGUGAGAGUGGAAAGUUCACACUGUGACGGUAUCUUACCAGAAAGGGACGGCUAACUACGUGCCAGCAGCCGCGGUAAUACGUAGGUCCCGAGCGUUGUCCGGAUUUAUUGGGCGUAAAGCGAGCGCAGGCGGUUAGAUAAGUCUGAAGUUAAAGGCUGUGGCUUAACCAUAGUAGGCUUUGGAAACUGUUUAACUUGAGUGCAAGAGGGGAGAGUGGAAUUCCAUGUGUAGCGGUGAAAUGCGUAGAUAUAUGGAGGAACACCGGUGGCGAAAGCGGCUCUCUGGCUUGUAACUGACGCUGAGGCUCGAAAGCGUGGGGAGCAAACAGGAUUAGAUACCCUGGUAGUCCACGCUGUAAACGAUGAGUGCUAGGUGUUAGACCCUUUCCGGGGUUUAGUGCCGUAGCUAACGCAUUAAGCACUCCGCCUGGGGAGUACGACCGCAAGGUUGAAACUCAAAGGAAUUGACGGGGGCCCGCACAAGCGGUGGAGCAUGUGGUUUAAUUCGAAGCAACGCGAAGAACCUUACCAGGUCUUGACAUCCCUCUGACCGCUCUAGAGAUAGAGUUUUCCUUCGGGACAGAGGUGACAGGUGGUGCAUGGUUGUCGUCAGCUCGUGUCGUGAGAUGUUGGGUUAAGUCCCGCAACGAGCGCAACCCCUAUUGUUAGUUGCCAUCAUUUAGUUGGGCACUCUAGCGAGACUGCCGGUAAUAAACCGGAGGAAGGUGGGGAUGACGUCAAAUCAUCAUGCCCCUUAUGACCUGGGCUACACACGUGCUACAAUGGCUGGUACAACGAGUCGCAAGCCGGUGACGGCAAGCUAAUCUCUUAAAGCCAGUCUCAGUUCGGAUUGUAGGCUGCAACUCGCCUACAUGAAGUCGGAAUCGCUAGUAAUCGCGGAUCAGCACGCCGCGGUGAAUACGUUCCCGGGCCUUGUACACACCGCCCGUCACACCACGAGAGUUUGUAACACCCGAAGUCGGUGAGGUAACCGUAAGGAGCCAGCCGCCUAAGGUGGGAUAGAUGAUUGGGGUGAAGUCGUAACAAGGUAGCCGUAUCGGAAGGUGCGGCUGGAUCACCU